AUUGAACGCUGGCGGCAGGCCUAACACAUGCAAGUCGAACGAGUGGCGGACGGGUGAGUAAUGUCUGGGAAACUGCCUGAUGGAGGGGGCUAACUACUGGAAACGGUAGCUAAUACCGCAUAACAUAAGAUGUGCCCAGAUGGGAGUAGCUAGUUGGUGGUUUAACGGCUAACCAAGGCGACGAUCCCUAGGUGGUCUGAGAGGAUGACCAGCCAGACUGGAACGGAGAAAGGGCCCAGACUCCGACAGUAGGCAGCAGUGGGGAAUAUUGCACAAGGGGCGCAAGCCUGAUGCAGCCAUGCCGCGUGUAUGAAGAAGGCCUGAGGGUUGUAAAGUACUUUCAGCGGGGAGGCGUUACCCGCAGAAGAAGCACCGGCUAACUCCGUGCCAGCAGCCGCGGUAAUUC
rnacentral:rRNA from 1 species